GACGAACGCUGGCGGCGUGCUUAACACAUGCAAGUCGAGCGGUAAGGCCCCUUCGGGGGUACACGAGCGGCGAACGGGUGAGUAACACGUGGGUGACCUGCCCUCAGCUCUGGGAUAAGCCUGGGAAACUGGGUCUAAUACCGGAUAUGACUCCAUGACGCAUGUCGUGGGGUGGAAAGCCUUGUGCGGCUGGGGAUGGGCCCGCGGCCUAUCAGCUUGUUGGUGGGGUGAUGGCCUACCAAGGCGACGACGGGUAGCCAGCCUGAGAGGCGACCGGCCACACUGGGACUGAGACACGGCCCAGACUCCUACGGGAGGCAGCAGUGGGGAAUCUUGCGCAAUGGGCGAAAGCCUGACGCAGCGACGCCGCGUGAGGGAUGACGGCCU
rnacentral:rRNA from 1 species